CUUUCACCUUGACGUAUAAAUGGACAAAAUCAAACUAAACGUAGAUGGCUUUGAUUAAUCGAUGAGAGGAAGAAGAGUGAAAGCAUGUACCUUUAGUCUUAGGAAGCGGCUGUGUUCUACUUCGCUGGUGGAGUCAAUUUCUACGGUGUCAGGAAACACCAGCGACCUAUCAAGCAAUUCAAUGGCAGGUGAGUACCAUACCUUCAUCAACACAAACGAAAUAGCAUGGUUGUUUUCCCAGGACUCGUAAAGCAUAUUUUCCGACCACCUAUAAAGAUCAAACAUUUGAAGCAACACAAACAAAACUAAGUGAGCUUCAUAAACCGGACUUCAAGAACAACACAUUCAGCAGUCCAUACCACUCAUCUAUAAGAACAUUCCCGAUCUGUAAAAGACAAAUCAUACUUCAUAAGCCACUGUAUAACCUUUCGCAGCCCUUAGGAUCAAUUCAUUGCCAUAUUAUCUCCAGAUCUCAUAAUCUGAAAACCGCCAUCUGUACAUUCUUUCCACCUUCGUAGUCUCGUAGAAUCCGCGAAUCAAACCUCACAUGAUACCAA
rnacentral:lncRNA from 1 species